UUGAUUCCAUCUUUAACAGCCUGAUAUUUUUCAUGUAAUCUAUUAUUUAUAUAAGUUUUUGUCAAUUAACGGCAAUGUUGAUUUCAACACGUUGCAGUGUUGUGUUGAGAAGGGGAUUCGCAUUUGUUAAACGUAGCACACGUUUUUUGUCGAGUAUAGAUGGUGGACAAGAUAUAACAUUCAUUGAUGAAGACGAAAGCUUAAUAUUUAACGAUGGUACUGAUUUUGCUCCUGUUACAUACUCUGAAUCCAGACAUCAAUCUUUAAUAAUACGACCACCUGAUCAGCCCUUGAAUCCAAAAAUUUUGAAAGUUUCUGUUUUGGGAAUGCCAAAUGCAGGGAAGUCGACUUUCAUUAAUGCAAUACUGGGGAAGAAAAUUAUGGCAACCUCGUGCAAAAUUGACACCACUAUGGAAAAUAUUUCAGCAGUGCGUACAAUGGGUGACACACAAAUUUUGUUUCAAGAUACACCAGGUAUAAUGAACAAUCGAAAAGCUGGUCGUCAUAGACUUGCAAGGGAGUCUGUUUCUCUGCCCAAUGACUCAUUCUUUGAUUCUGAUAUUGGUAUCAUUUUGGCUGAUUUAACUUCCUUGAGAAUUAAAGAUGGUUUUUUACAGCCCGAGAUUCUCAUGACUAUGAUUAAAAACAGACAUGUACCAACUGUACUCGUUUUAAAUAAGGUUGAUAAAUACAAAAAGAAGGAUCAUUUGUUACCUUUGAUUUAUACCUUAACCGCGGGGCGUAUAGCUGGUGAGUCUUUUGAGCCAGAGAGGCUAAAACUUACUCCUAUGAGGACUCCAAAAAUCAAAAAAACUGCGCUUACGGAAUAUGAAAAUUUGGACUUAGCUGAUGAAACUGCCUUGAAAAAAUGGAUGGGAGGAAGUGAACAUAGACUGUUGAACAAAUUGAGAUUUUGUAGGGGAUGGCCCCAUUUCGAAGAAGUAUUUGUCAUCUCUGCUAAGGAAGGCUUAGGUCUUGAUCCUAUUAAGAACUAUAUGUUGACCCAUGCAAAACCUGGUUCGUGGAAAUAUCACAGUGAGGUAAAGACUGAUGCCAGCCCUAAGCAGAUCAUUAUGGACUCUAUUCGUGCUGGACUUCUCGAACAUUUACCGGAAGAAAUCCCAUAUAGAGUUAUUCCUCGAAUCACUGAAUGGGGUGAAAUUGAUGAUGGGCGCUUGUAUGUUGAAAUUGAGGUUUUAUGUGGAAAAAAGAGUCAUUAUAAUAUGGUUAAUCGCAUUUCACGUAAAAUAGCAAACGAUACUCAAGAACAGUUGCAGGAUGUAUUUUUUAUGGAAGUUUUUGUACAAAUAUUACCUGUUUCAUUUAAAAAUAUGGGAGUGUAAUUGACAUAUUUGAAACGUUUUUGUAUUUACAGUCAAAAUUUGAUUGAUUAUUUUGAUCUGAAAGCAACGUCGCUGUAUUAUGCAGUGCCUCAAGUUUCAGAGAUUAAUACUAAAAUUCGGUGCUGUUUCAUGUCGUAGUUUUGCUUCAUCCACUGCGGAACCUCUUACAAUUGUUAAAGAAGAAGAUGGAAUACGAAGAAUCACUCUCAAUAAUCCUCGUAAAAG